UACGGAGGGGGCAAGCGUUGUUCGGAAUUACUGGGCGUAAAGCGCGCGUAGGCGGCGAUGCAAGUCAGAGGUGAAAUGCCCGGGCUCAACCUGGGAGGUGCCUUUGAUACUGUGUUGCUUGGAUCCAGGAGAGGUGAGCGGAAUUCCGAGUGUAGAGGUGAAAUGCGUAGAGAUCUGAAGGAAUACCAGUGGCGAAGGCGGCCUCCUGGCCUAAUAUUGACGCUGAGGUGCGAAAGCGUGGGGAGCAAACAGGAUUAGAUACCCCGGUAGUCC
rnacentral:rRNA from 1 species